rnacentral:miRNA from 1 species
CAGAGGACGAGGGAUGUCAAAAUG